ACAGUAUAUAUAUCUAGAUGCUGAUCCACACAUUAUACCGGUCUGUCAGCUGGACAAUGGCUUCACCAUGAGCAGGUCUGAUCACCUUUCAGUUUAGAGACAAGGGCAGCAGGUCUGAUCACCUUUCAGUUUAGAGACAAGGGCAGCAGGUCUGAUCACCUUUCAGUUUAGAGACAAGGGCAGCAGGUCUGAUCACCUUUCAGUUUAGAGACAAGGGCAGCAGGUCUGAUCACCUUUCAGUUUAGAGACAAGGGCAGCAGGUCUGAUCACCUUUCAGUUUAGAGACAAGGGCAGCAGGUCUGAUCACCUUUCAGUUUAGAGACAAGGGCAGCAGGUCUGAUCACCUUUCAGUUUAGAGACAAGGGCAGCAGGUCUGAUCACCUUUCAGUUUAGAGACAAGGGCAGCAUGUCAGAUCAUAUAAAUAGAACACGGUCGACUUGAAAUGUCUGUUCUAGAUAUUUUAUUUGAAUUAGUGCGAUUCCGUUUUACUGUACCGCUCUGCCUUACCAGCAGUCUACCU